rnacentral:rRNA from 1 species
GUGGGGAAUCUUAGACAAUGGGGGAAACCCUGAUCUAGCCAUGCCGCGUGAGCGAUGAAGGCCUUAGGGUUGUAAAGCUCUUUCAGCUGGGAAGAUAAUGACGGUACCAGCAGAAGAAGCCCCGGCUAACUCCGUGCCAGCAGCCGCGGUAAUACGGAGGGGGCUAGCGUUGUUCGGAAUUACUGGGCGUAAAGCGCACGUAGGCGGAUCAGAAAGUCAGAGGUGAAAUCCCAGGGCUCAACCUUGGACCGGACUUUGAAACUCCGGGUCUUGAGGUCGAGAGAGGUGAGUGGAAUUCCGAGUGUAGAGGUGAAAUUCGUAGAUAUUCGGAGGAACACCAGUGGCGAAGGCGGCCCACUGGCUCGAUACUGACGCUGAGGUGCGAAAGCGUGGGGAGCAAACAGGAUUAGAUACCCGGGUAGUCC